CUGCAGACGUUCCCCCCCCCCUUUGCUCGUUCCCGCAAAGACUCACAUGUGCUUAUCUCCUCUUCCGGUUACACAAGGACUUCUACUAUCCGCCUAGAGGUGAGACGCAUCACACACCUCCCACAUUUGUCAAAGAGCAUCACCACGGGCUCCUCUUGUCUCUUUCUCCUUCGUUAGCCUCGCCCCUUCCCGCGUGCUGCUUCAUCAAGUAAAUGUUCCGGCGUUGCGCUCGACGUCUAGGCCAUCAGCUCAUCAAGGAGCCGAUGGGUCACGAAGAGACCACCUUCAGUCGCGGUGACCGCACUCGCAACAACGCUCUCCAGCACAUAUACGGACUUAUCGGGUUUUGCGGAGUAGGCUGCGUGCUGGCGCUUUUUUCCUUUGUGUCGGGGCAGCGUCGUGUUCUGACCACAAUUACGGCAGACGGCACCAUCACCAAAGGGACGUGCCCCACGAAGUGGUGGAACUUCUGAGCCUCCUUGCAAGUGGGAAGCGGUGUGGUGCGUGCGGGGCUUCUCUGCUGCACAGGCACAUGGAAGCAUUCUGCGAGCGACGAGCAGGGAAAGCAGAAGCAGCGUUGACGGCAAAAUUCCUUUCUGUUUCGGCUCCGCGUCGCUGGUCUUUUUCGUUCGCUGGCCUCUCUUCUUUUUACUGUGCGUGAUAGCGAUCGUUUUAGUGUAGUGGGGCAGGAAGUACGCGUGUCUGUCGCGGAGCCGAUCGCCCCCAACACGUACUGGUAUUGGCUUUCUUCGGGGGACGAGGUGUAGGCAUGUGCACCAUCGGUGUUUUGUUCUCCUUUGCCUGUGGUCUUCUCUUACCGAAAAGCUGUGUACUGUUGUUGCUGUUUUUUUUUUGGUCACUGUCUCGGGCUUGCGUAACGUAGUACUCUAACGAUUCCCACACCCACUGACGAAGAAGGUGCCCUAUGAGGGAAGUGAGGUAAAAAAAAUAGGAAAGAGGUGCUGCUUCCCUUUUCCCCCUCUUUGUUUUUCGUUGGCUUCGUGGAUGGCCCCCCUUGGGCUACCAUGUGAACCAUCUUCAAGGCCUUGUACACCACAGGCGUACCUC
rnacentral:misc_RNA from 1 species